rnacentral:lncRNA from 1 species
UGGAAGCGCAGUGUCACCAACGUGCUUUCCAACUUGGCGUCCGUCACGCCCUCCUCCUGCGUGCCGGAAAAGUUACAGGUGAGAAGGCAUACGGGUUGAUCUUUAGCGCCGGUCCAUUCAGCGGCGCAUUAUAAGAUUGUAUGUACUAACUCGCUCGUUGUGUCGGUUAUGAGUUGACAAACCUUCCGUAGCUUCAGCAACCGCUCUGUAAGCUCGCUCUCCUGCUUGAUCAGCUUUUCCAGCUUUAAAUACGAGAUCCAAAUGUUUCCUGCGUAGCCUACAAGCUCCGCAAACGCGCUUGCAUAAGCCAGGCGUUCCUCGAGGUCUUUGUUCAGCGCUCCAGUCUUGACGAGCCUGGCACACGUGUACAAUAUCGAUUUAUUUUAUUAAGAUGUGCGUGGGUGCGGUCAUCAUAAAACCAAACCGCAAAACUUACCAGGUGAAUUGCUCAAUGAAAUAGUAAAUACCCUCGCCACCGUACGCCAGCAGCUCCAGGAUAAUUGUGGCAUCUUUCGUUUUGCUAUGGCGCAGACUAUUGACAUCCUGGAGGAACUUGCCCAAUCGGAACGCUUUCCUGUAUGGCAACCGACAGAAGUCACGGAAAGAGCACCAUGACGAGGAGUUUGAAAGCCCUGCACCCACCG